UUUCAUUAACAUUGUUCAAUUGCAAUUGGAUACCGCUGGCACUCGCUGACUUUAAAAAAUGUUCAACCAACUCGCAACCAGAAAAUAGAGGUGAAUUGAUCUGAAAAAGAAUGCCGUCCAGGAUGCAUCAUUCUCAAAAUAUGGUUGCUAAAAUAUGGACUUAUGAUCUACGGCAGUGAAUGUGAUGAAGAGUAGUGGAAAUAUUUUCUUCUCAAGAUGAACUACAUUCUGACGUCAUGGGAUAUAGAUAAUAAUACAACAGUUCUGUUCGCCCUCUCCGAUCCCUUUGGCUAGGUUAUAAAUGGUAGUACAGUGUAUGGCGACACAUUCUGGCGGUAUUGGAAUACUCCAACAGUUCUUGCUGUCUCCCUCUUGGGGAGUUGCAGUCAAGUUGUACCAAGGAUUUUCUACGAUGAGAUGAGAAUACCUUACCUCUGAUAUUCUCUGAUAUCAUAUCAAAAUGUUAAUCUGUUUUUAUGUGAGACAA